GUUUGCACUUGUCGGGGAAGGGUGAGAACCUUCGAUUAAGGUUCGACUCGAGAGAACGUUGCCAACGGCAACGGCCCGUAGGGUGAGGAGCGAAGCGACGAAUAAUCCUUCCCCUACCACCA
rnacentral:sRNA from 1 species